UACGUAGGGGGCUAGCGUUGUCCGGAUUUAUUGGGCGUAAAGAGCGUGUAGGCGGCCAGGUAGGUCUGCUGUGAAAACUCGAGGCUCAACCUCGAGACGUCGGCGGAAACCAUCUGGCUAGAGUCCGGAAGAGGAGAGUGGAAUUCCUGGUGUAGCGGUGAAAUGCGCAGAUAUUCGCAAGAACACCAGUGGCGAAGGCGGCUCACUGGCCCGGUACUGACGCUGAGGUGCGAAAGCGUGGGGAGCAAACAGG
rnacentral:rRNA from 1 species